UAGAUCAGAAGCGAGAAUGUUGACAUGAGUAGCGACAAACAGGGUGAGAAACCCUGUCGCCGAAAGUCCAAGGGUUCCUGCUUAAAGCUAAUCUGAGCAGGGUAAGCCGGCCCCUAAGGCGAGGCCGAAAGGCGUAGUCGAUGGGAACCAGGUUAAUAUUCCUGGGCCAGUGGGAUGUGACGGAUCGCAGAUGUAGUUUGCCCUUAUCGGAUUGGGUGGGCUGCUGAGCGGUUCCUGGAAAUAGCCCCACAUCAGACCGUACCCUAAACCGACACAGGUGGACUGGUAGAGUAUACCAAGGCGCUUGAGAGAACCACGUUAAAGGAACUCGGCAAAAUGCCUCCGUAAGUUCGCGAGAAGGAGGCCCCGUCUGUAGGCAACUAUGGGCGGGGGGCACAAACUAGGGGGUGGCGACUGUUUACUUAAAACACAGGGCUGUGCGAAGCCGUAAGGCGACGUAUACAGUCUGACGCCUGCCCGGUGCUGGAAGAUUAAGAGGAGGGGUGCAAGCUCUGAAUUGAAGUCCCAGUAAACGGCGGCCGUAACAAUAACGGUCCUAAGGUAGCGAAAUUCCUUGUCGGGUAAGUUCCGACCUGCACGAAUGGCGUAACGAUCUCCCCGCUGUCCCUAACGUGGACUCAGCGAAAUUGAACUGUGUGUCAAGAUGCACACUACCCGCGGUUAGACGGAAAGACCCCAUGAACCUUUACUCCAGCUUUGCACUGGUAUCAGGAUUGUGAUGUGCAGGAUAGGUGGUAGGCAAAUCGGGGACGCCAGUCUUCGUGGAGCCUCCCUUGAGAUACCACCCUUCGCCAUCUUGAUAUCUAACCGCGGCCCGUUAUCCGGGUCCGGGACCCUGCAUGGUGGGGAGUUUGACUGGGGCGGUCGCCUCCCAAACAGUAACGGAGGCGCGCGAUGGUUGGCUCAGACCGGUCGGAAAUCGGUCGUUGAGUGCAAUGGCAGAAGCCAGCCUGACUGCAAGACUGACAAGUCGAGCAGAGACGAAAGUCGGUCAUAGUGAUCCGGUGGUCCCAAGUGGGAGGGCCAUCGCUCAACGGAUAAAAGGUACUCUGGGGAUAACAGGCUGAUGAUGCCCAAGAGUCCAUAUCGACGGCAUCGUUUGGCACCUCGAUGUCGGCUCAUCUCAUCCUGGGGCUGGAGCAGGUCCCAAGGGUAUGGCUGUUCGCCAUUUAAAGAGGUACGUGAGCUGGGUUUAGAACGUCGUGAGACAGUUCGGUCCCUAUCUGCCGUGGGUGCAGGAGACUUGAGAAGAGUUGACCCUAGUACGAGAGGACCGGGUUGAACGAACCACUGGUGGACCAGUUAUCGUGCCAACGGUAGUGCUGGGUAGCUAUGUUCGGACAGGAUAACCGCUGAAGGCAUCUAAGCGGGAAGCCCCCUUCAAAACAAGGUCUCCCUUGAGGGCCGUGGAAGACGACCACGUCGAUAGGCCAGA
rnacentral:rRNA from 1 species